rnacentral:lncRNA from 1 species
GGGCACCUGGAGGCACGCAUCAUACAGAAGACAUAUGUCCUACAGCUGAGCCACAUGCUGCCAUCUAACUGGAAAGCAGGGCUGGUGCUCAGUCCUACAAAGCCAGGAACAGCUCAGGCAUGUCUGAAGAAGACAGAGGAUGAAUACAGUCUGUUUCUGUAACACCUACACUUCUGCACCACACAAUGCAAGUUACAGGGAGGCUCUUGAUCCGGGAGAAACUGAGUCACUUGCUGGGAGAAUAGCAAUGCAAGUGACAUGGAAACCCAGACAGACACAGACAGAGAUCAAAGAGAGGAGCAGCUGGAUACCUGACACAAGCCAACACUUCUGAGCAGGGCAGUUUCUGAUCUUCUGAGUCAAUACGCCAGGGGAAAUGAGAGCUGAACAGUGACAAAGGAAGGAACUUCUCUAACCUCCCUGAAACAUCCCUCCCUCAUCCCUCAUUCAUAUCUCACUGAUCAAGGCCUCUGAACCAUAAAUCACCAUGCACCAGACUAAAGGUUUUCCUGCUCUGGAAAUGCUGAUGCCUCUGUUCAGCCUUGUAGAUCAAAACACUGUUCUUGAAAGCCAGCUUAGCAUACCUGGCUGCUACAAAGUGCACAUCAUUGAAUGACUUUGUGUUCCCAGGUACAGGGCAAGAAAAAUGCCAGGGUAAGUACUGGGUACACUCUGGGGGAAAAAAAAAAUCAAUAUAUAAAAUAAAAAUUAUUUUUUUGUACAGAAUUUAAUUUUCUUUGCUGUUUUCCUCCACAACAUCUUAGAGACAAAGAAAAGGGGUGAAACUGCCUGGAGAAUGAUUUAUGCCAAGUCAAGGGAUGGCAGCUGAGAUCACUCCUUCUGAAGAAGCUCUGAUGUCUCCUCACUGUUUUGGCACAUUUACCUCCAUGUUUUCAGGAAAAUUCCAUGUCAGCAUAGCACCACGCUCACAAAAUGCUAAGUAAAUAGUGGUGGAAGGCAGAGAAAGUAAUUUACAUUAAAAAACAGCUUUACCUCAUCGUGCUGGAGUGUCUGUUGUGACUGAAGAAGGAG